rnacentral:rRNA from 1 species
AGUGAACGCUGGCGGUAGGCCUAACACACGCAAGUCGAGCGGCAGCACAGUAAGAGCUUGCUCUUACGGGUGGCGAGUGGCGGACGGGUGAGGAAUACAUCGGAAUCUACUUUUUCGUGGGGGAUAACGUAGGGAAACUUACGCUAAUACCGCAUACGACCUACGGGUGAAAGCAGGGGAUCUUCGGACCUUGCGCGAUUGAAUGAGCCGAUGUCGGAUUAGCUAGUUGGCGGGGUAAAGGCCCACCAAGGCGACGAUCCGUAGUUGGUCUGAGAGGAUGAUCAGCCACACUGGAACUGAGACACGGUCCAGACUCCUACGGGAGGCAGCAGUGGGGAAUAUUGGACAAUGGGCGCAAGCCUGAUCCAGCCAUACCGCGUGGGUGAAGAAGGCCUUCGGGUUGUAAAGCCCUUUUGUUGGGAAAGAAAAGCAGCAGGUUAAUACCCCGCUGUUCUGACGGUACCCAAAGAAUAAGCACCGGCUAACUUCGUG